UACGGAGGGAGCUAGCGUUGUUCGGAAUUACUGGGCGUAAAGCGCGCGUAGGCGGCUUUGUAAGUUAGAGGUGAAAGCCCGGAGCUCAACUCCGGAACUGCCUUUAAGACUGCAUCGCUUGAAUCCAGGAGAGGUGAGUGGAAUUCCGAGUGUAGAGGUGAAAUUCGUAGAUAUUCGCAAGAACACCAGUGGCGAAGGCGGCUCACUGGCCCGAUACUGACGCUGAGGUGCGAAAGCGUGGGGAGCAAACAGG
rnacentral:rRNA from 1 species